rnacentral:rRNA from 1 species
UACGUAGGGCGCGAGCGUUGUCCGGAAUUAUUGGGCGUAAAGAGCUUGUAGGCGGUUUGUCGCGUCUGCUGUGAAAAUCCGGGGCUCAACCCCGGACUUGCAGUGGGUACGGGCAGACUGGAGUGUGGUAGGGGAGACUGGAAUUCCUGGUGUAGCGGUGGAAUGCGCAGAUAUCAGGAGGAACACCGAUGGCGAAGGCAGGUCUCUGGGCCACUACUGACGCUGAGAAGCGAAAGCAUGGGGAGCGAACAGG